GAUGAACGCUGGCGGCGUGCCUAAUACAUGCAAGUCGAGCGAACGGACGAGAAGCUUGCUUUUCUGAUGUUAGCGGCGGACGGGUGAGUAACACGUGGAUAACCUACCUAUAAGACUGGGAUAACUUCGGGAAACCGGAGCUAAUACCGGAUAAUAUUUUGAACCGCAUGGUUCAAAAGUGAAAGACGGUCUUGCUGUCACUUAUAGAUGGAUCCGCGCUGCAUUAGCUAGUUGGUAAGGUAACGGCUUACCAAGGCAACGAUGCAUAGCCGACCUGAGAGGGUGAUCGGCCACACCGGAACUGAGACACGGUCCAGACUCCUACGGGAGGCAGCAGUAGGGAAUCUUCCGCAAUGGGCGAAAGCCUGACGGAGCAACGCCGCGUGAGUGAUGAAGGUCUUCGGAUCGUAAAACUCUGUUAUUAGGGAAGAACAUAUGUGUAAGUAACUGUGCACAUCUUGACGGUACCUAAUCAGAAAGCCACGGCUAACUACGUG
rnacentral:rRNA from 1 species